GGGCGUAAAGCGUGCGUAGGCGGCUUUUUAAGUCGGAUGUGAAAUCCCUGCCCUUAACUUAGGAAUUGCAUUCGAUACUGGAAAGCUAGAGUACGGGAGAGGAUGGUAGAAUUCCAGGUGUAGCGGUGAAAUGCGUAGAGAUCUGGAGGAAUACCGAUGGCGAAGGCAGCCAUCUGGCCUAAUACUGACGCUGAGGUACGAAAGCAUGGGGAGCAAACAGGAUUAGAUACCCUGGUAGUCCAUGCCGUAAACGAUGUCUACUAGCCGUUGGGGCCUUUGAGGCUUUAGUGGCGCAGCUAACGCGAUAAGUAGACCGCCUGGGGAGUACGGUCGCAAGACUAAAACUCAAAUGAAUUGACGGGGGCCCGCACAAGCGGUGGAGCAUGUGGUUUAAUUCGAUGCAACGCGAAGAACCUUACCUGGCCUUGACAUACUAAGAACUUUCCAGAGAUGGAUUGGUGCCUUCGGGAACUUAGAUACAGGUGCUGCAUGGCUGUCGUCAGCUCGUGUCGUGAGAUGUUGGGUUAAGUCCCGCAACGAGCGCAACCCUUUUCCUUAUUUGC
rnacentral:rRNA from 1 species